GGGCACUACGUAAUCGGACAUUGAUUUCAAAAUUAUACACGAUGACAAAACAUCAAAGGUAUACAUCUACACUAAAAAUAAAAUAUCUACAUAAUUUUUACAUCAUAAUUAAGCCAAAGAAAAAAAAUCCCAAAAGCCAUCAUAACCUGGACAAGCCCAUAUUUUGCACAUCCAAAAUUCCCCCAUCUUCCUGCCAUGGCAAAAGUUUAGUUAUUGGGUUUCUGAAAUUUCCCAACACUCGAUCCCUAAGUCCAGUGUCAGUCACCUCACAAAACCUACUGGCCCAAUCCGGUGGCUCAACGGCCCUAGUCCCCAACCCGGGGACACGAUCCUUGGACCCAACAUUCUGUUCAUCCUGCCAAUCAGCCACAUAAGUAGCCACCCUCCGGUAAAAUUUCUCCUUGAACACCUCCCAUACUUGAUACUUAUAGUGAUUAAUCACCAAAACUCCCCUAUCAGCAUUUACAUAUCUGAACCCAUCCCUCAAAUGAAAAUGGUGCACUACAUUGAUCAAUGUGGAAUUCAAUGCCUCGGGAUUCACUAUACUCUUGUGUCUUUCCGGCACCAUCAUCCGGCACGUGUAUCCUACGGUGACGCCUUGCUCCGGCAUGUGUUCCAGCCCAGAUGGUCCAAAACUAUGGCACGAUACACGUAGUUCUGCGACAUCACUACUGCUAGACUCGGAUUGAUUUCUAAGCACAUCAAGCAAAUUCAGUCCAGUUGGCAAGUGAAAAAAUUCGUCUACGUCUAUGAACCCAACCCAUUUACAAGAGCUGCGUGCCCGUAAUGCACAAUGCGCGAGUCCUGCCUCCUGGGUCUUGAUCCAAGGCCACACAUGUUUUGAAAUGUUGAAAUUGUUAUCCACUAACGAUGCUAUGACACUAUCAAUAUUAUCCUCGCUAUUAUUAUCGUAAAUGAACCAACGUUGGACUCCAAUUUGAGCAUGGUACAUAACCCAUUCCCCAAGGAACCUCGCUUGGUUGCGCAACAUUGUGCAUAUGCACAUUUCAUAUGGCUUUCGGGCGGUCGGGUCUGAGUCUCGAUUUAAUUGGAGCGCCGGUCGGGCUAUAGAGUGUAAUGUUCCUCUGCCUUUCAAUCUGACUGAGACCUUGAUGGAAUUGUUUACUUUCUGUGGGUUGUUCAAUAUGCUAAAAGGCGUUCGGCACCGUACGAUCUCUUGGGCUAUCGAUAUGACGUUAGAUCUCAAUAAGAACUUUGGCCUCCUGAGAUCCCAGCCGUACACGCACUCGAAUCUUGAUGCGUUGUACAGCCUAUCUGGCCGUAGAUUGAGCCCCUUCACAAAUACUAUUGUGGUAUUGUCACGGUCGAUCAUUGCUUCAUACACGAGUGAGUCCCACCUGUGGAUCGGCCCAGGCUUGAUGUACCCACCAGAUUUCAAGGCGAGCGCAACCAGGAAGCCACGUGGAUUGAGGGGACACCGUACGAUCUGGUCAUCCAGAUCAGCACCAUCUAUUUGAUUAGGAGGCUGCUUGAACUGCGGCUGGGAUGACGAUGAGGAUUUCCCGGCCGCGAAAUAAACGCAAUCCAAGUCCUCUUUGGUAAAUAAGCGAGCUGAUUGAGGGUAUUUUAGGAAAAUAAGAACCUGGUCUGGUAGAAUAACUGUUUCUCGAAUUGAAAUAGUAGCCGAAUUCAUCAGAGAGUCGCCGGAGAUAGCUUGCAACGCCGGCGGUCGCAAUGCAGAAACGAUUUUUUCUGGAUGAAAUUUAUCUCCAAGUAAGAGGCGAAAAGUGGAGAAACUGAAACCAGUGUAGAGGACGCAAGAGAAAACGACGAAGAGAGUACACCAAAAGAACCGGCUCCAGGAAACGACGUCGCGUUUCCUACGAUCCUUCAUCGCUACAAGAAGAAGCGGCAGCGGCGGCGGCGGCUGCUGUUGUUAAAAGCAACAACAACCACGAAGAACACACAAAAGAAUCCAAAAGGAAACCCACUAGUUUCUGCUCAUACAUGAAGGCAUAGGCAAAGAUAGGGUUUGGUUAUAUAAUCUUUGGAGAUGGUGGAAUAUAAUUCUUGAGUGUUUUUAUUCAACUUAGCACUCCAACCGUCUACGGAAAGUUUUAUCUGAGAAUGAGAUAGAAAGAGAGGGACGGAGGGAGAGAGAGACGGCUAACAUCUC
rnacentral:misc_RNA from 1 species